rnacentral:rRNA from 1 species
AGCAGCCGCGGUAAUUCCAGCUCCAAUAGCGUAUAUUAAAGUUGUUGCAGUUAAAAAGCUCGUAGUUGAAUUUCGGGGUUAGUAGGUUGGUCAUGCCUCUGGUAUAUACUGGUCUCACUGAUUCCUCCUUCCUGAUGAACCUUAAUGCCAUUAAUUUGGUGUUUUGGGGAAUUUGGACUGUUACUUUGAAAAAAUUAGAGUGUUUAAAGCAAGCUAACGCUUGAAUACAUUAGCAUGGAAUAAUGAAAUAGGACGUUCGAUCCUAUUUUGUUGGUUUCUAGGAUUGACGUAAUGAUUAAUAGGGAUAGUUGGGGGCAUUAGUAUUCAAUUGUCAGAGGUGAAAUUCUUGGAUUUAUUGAAGACUAACUACUGCGAAAGCAUUUGCCAAGGAUGUUUUCAUUAAUCAAGAACGAAAGUUAGGGGAUCGAAGACGAUCAGAUACCGUCGUAGUCUUAACCAUAAACUAUGCCGACUAGGGAUCGGAUGAUGUUAAUUUUUUAAUGACUCA